rnacentral:pre_miRNA from 1 species
UGACGAUGAUGAUGAUGAUGAUGACGAUGAUGAUGAUUAUUAUUAUAAUUAUAAUGACGAUGAUGAUGACCUCAUUAUUACCAGAAUCAUAGCCAUCAUCAUCAGCGUUAUCACUAUCAUAAUAG